CACAUGCAAGUCGAGGGGCAGCAUGGUCUUAGCUUGCUAAGGCCGAUGGCGACCGGCGCACGGGUGAGUAACACGUAUCCAACCUGCCGUCUACUCUUGGACAGCCUUCUGAAAGGAAGAUUAAUACAAGAUGGCAUCAUGAGUCCGCAUGUUCACAUGAUUAAAGGUAUUCCGGUAGACGAUGGGGAUGCGUUCCAUUAGAUAGUAGGCGGGGUAACGGCCCACCUAGUCUUCGAUGGAUAGGGGUUCUGAGAGGAAGGUCCCCCACAUUGGAACUGAGACACGGUCCAAACUCCUACGGGAGGCAGCAGUGAGGAAUAUUGGUCAAUGGGCGCAGGCCUGAACCAGCCAAGUAGCGUGAAGGAUGACUGCCCUAUGGGUUGUAAACUUCUUUUAUAAAGGAAUAAAGUCGGGUAUGUAUACCCGUUUGCAUGUACUUUAUGAAUAAGGAUCGGCUAACUCCGUGCCAGCAGCCGCGGUAAUACGGAGGAUCCGAGCGUUAUCCGGAUUUAUUGGGUUUAAAGGGAGCGUAGAUGGAUGUUUAAGUCAGUUGUGAAAGUUUGCGGCUCAACCGUAAAAUUGCAGUUGAUACUGGAUAUCUUGAGUGCAGUUGAGGCAGGCGGAAUUCGUGGUGUAGCGGUGAAAUGCUUAGAUAUCACGAAGAACUCCGAUUGCGAAGGCAGCCUGCUAAGCUGCAACUGACAUUGAGGCUCGAAAGUGUGGGUAUCAAACAGGAUUAGAUACCCUGGUAGUCCACACGGUAAACGAUGAAUACUCGCUGUUUGCGAUAUACGGCAAGCGGCCAAGCGAAAGCGUUAAGUAUUCCACCUGGGGAGUACGCCGGCGACGGUGAAACUCAGAGGAAUUGACGGGGGCCCGCACAAGCGGAGGAACAUGUGGUUUAAUU
rnacentral:rRNA from 1 species